rnacentral:lncRNA from 1 species
CGCAUCUUACAUGGCCAGAGAAGGAGGAAGAAUAAGAAGGGAUUCUCCAGCUGGAGCCCUAUAAAUUGGACUGACAAAAGACAGAUUAGCAAGAGAAAUGCAAGCAGCAGUUUAUUAACAUGUGCAUCAUGAUUACACAUGGAAGUACCCAGAGGCAGAAUUAAAGAUUCAAGAUGUACCUACUUCUUCCGGGGACAACAUUCAUGAUUCUUAAAGAUUUCACAAGUGUACCUUCUAAGGGUAAGUGGCUGGAAGUAGUAAGAGGUCAAUGCCAAGUGAAAUCCUCUGGCGUUUUCUUCUGACAACCAGGAGUCUGCAAA